CUAGAUCGAGACAGCUCCCUCCAAUCAUUCAUUUCCUUCCUCCUCCUCCAAUCCUCCCAAACAGGGCGCGGCCGACGUGAGCGAGGACGGAGCGAAGGUGCCGCCGCCAUGCUUCGGGAGAGCGGCCGCGGGGCGCUGCUGCGUGGAGCGCUGGGAGGAGACGGUCACCGCCGGCCGCGGGCAUCGCCAUGUGAAGAGUAGGUGGCCGGGGGCCGCGUCAGCCGCUGCCUCGGGUCCACGCCGCCGCCGCCGCUCCUCCAUGCCAUCGCCGACCACCCCCUGCGCCGCGUCGUGUCCUCGCCGUCGUCCGACAGCGCCAUGGAGUGUGUCUCCUCCAAGUCGAGUCCCCACCGCCGGCGCCCAGGGUGACGCGGAUCCGGGGCAGGAUGGGCAGGAUCUCGUCAUGCCGGUCCUCCUCCGCAUUGUUGCUGCGCUGCUCCCUCCUCCUCGUGGCCAUCUCCUCUACGCUGCCUCCGUCCCCAGCCUCCUCUACACGGCCUCAAUCCCCGGCGUUCUGCUACCUCUGCCCCACCUCCUCUCCAUGGCUUGGCGUUGAGACCCAUCAUGGACUAGCCUCCGCCCCCAUCUCUGCGUUGCUGCAGCAUGGGACGACUGCAGCGACGACAUCCCCCAUCUCUGCUCUCGUUUGUUCUUGACAAGAUUCAAUCUCGUUUUUAGUUAUUUCCAUCCAAUUUUGGAUAUAAUUAGGUUGUUAAACGCCAAUCCAGGGGAUGCCUUUGUACAUGAACCAGAUCUUGAAAAGCAUAUGGAGGUCAACUGCGCUGAAAUCAAAAUCCAAAAUCACGAGGUUGGAAUGCAGCUCAAUAAGGUGAUUGCAGAUCAUGAGGUUUCAAGGACAGCUGGUGUGAUAGUUAAUAAAUUGGGUUGAUGAUGAGGCUGUCAAGAACAAGCGACCGCCGCCAAAGAGGCUUUCCCUAGAGGUAUUGUGACUGCAUGUGUAUUUUUCAUAGUUGAUUGGUGCAACAAAUCUGAAAGUUUGGGAGUGGUUCUGAAAUUUGGGAGACGACUUAGAUUUUCUGUUGUAUGGGUCACUCAAUUGGGCAGAAGAGAUAUUAUUAGUCCCUCCGAUCCAUAAUAAUUUAUGGGGUUUUUGUUCAAAUUAGCUCAAGUUUGAACAAAACCCCCGACACUUAGUAUGUAUCGGAGGGAGUACUUUCUAUGUGGUUUUGGGAUUGGUUAUUGUGCUACAUGACACACGGUGGUCAUGUUAUAUGCUGGACAAUAUGUGCCUGCUAAAUGUUAGUUUUCAGCACCACCAGUGGCAUUUAUGUUUUCUACCAUGGAUAAUAUCUUAUGCACAUCCAGUUUAUUGGGAUGUUUUAAAGGGUAUUUCGACUCUUCUGUCCCUGUAAUUGCCACAGUAUGAUUGAGAAUGUGAGUCAACACAGUAUUUUUAGAUUUGAGUUCCAUGGUUAUUAUGGUACAGUGCUCACUGCUCACUGGUAUGGAAAUUUGCAAAUACAAUAUGUAUGUUACAUUUGCAUCUGCAAUCUCUAUUGUACCUUUGUAUACUCGAAAAUAUGAUAAAUAUAUGUGGUUCAGGUUCAGGUUCAUGUUUAUCUACUUUUGAAUUGGAAAGGAAAUUAGUAUAAAGUUAGGAAGAAGAAUGAUAAUACCAACUAAUGAGUUGGUAACUAGGGAUAUGUCAGAACAACCAAUAGGUUAAGGUUUAAUUACUGAAACUAAAAUUAUGACGGGUGGACUUUGAUUUUUUUAGUUACUCUAUUUUGAAAUAGUCAUGUACUCAUUUUACAUUUCAGCUUAUUUAAGUUAUGCUUCAUUGUGCCAUUAAGGUGAGAUUGGACCAACGUUACUGGUUCCAGGCAAGAGAUCAACAAUUUUUCAUGAGCUACUCUGUUUUGGAACACUCGUUUCACAUUUCAACUUAUUUGAAUUAUGCAUCCAUAAAAUAGAGAUGAACUAGAAAGUGCUUCUCUGUGCCAUUAAGGUUAAUGGUCCCGAGGCUGGACAUUCAACUUUUUUUGAGCCGUUGAGUCCAUGAUUUUAAUGGGUGCUAAUUCUGUUAUUUAUAUUGUCUAUGGAUAUGAGAAACUUAAUGUUUCGUACAGUUCUAUCACUUGCAAACAGAGAACCAGUAACAUGUGUUGUCUAUAAUUUGUUUCGCUUUGCCUCAACCUGUAUAUGUUCGUAAGCAUCCAUGGUGGUACUUCUUACUCUUCCUAAGGUUAUUUUGGUUAUAAGUAAAUGAAAUAUAUUAGCAAAUUAGUUCCUCAAAAAAUAUGUUAUAGCAAACUAUCGACCUUAUAUCUGCAUUAUGCAUCUAUGAUUUGUAUAUCUGUUAAUUUGUGCUCGAAGGAGACUGGGAGGUGUUUCACUAUUAUGAAAUCGGGGUGAUUGGCGCAUUCAUCUUCUACUUCUUCAAGUACAAGAGGCUGAUGCCCCUGAAGAGUAUAAGCUCUUAGUAGGACGGAUUCAACCUUCUAUUUGCCUGUUAAGCUUGCAGUUCACUAUCCGGGCCAAAAUGAAGUUGCAAUUCACUGGCUUAGUCCUUCUCAUGAGGUCCCCACCGAUCUAAUUGGAUCACGAUUGGAUUCUGAGUUCUGCUCGCUCCAUCAAGAAGGAAGAAACCACGCUGGACAACCUGCUUGCAUUGGUCAUCAUGCUUGGCAUUCAGGCUCACACAGUUGUGGACGCGCACGCGUCAGUAACAACCUGUCGCCACUGAAAUGAAUCAAUCUGCUUCUUUCCUGUAACCCUUGCCGGCGUGCACAACUAAGAAAUACAGUUGGAUUCAAAGGACGUGAUCUGUGCCUACCGAGAAGACAUGUUUAUGAACAGUUUGCUGAUGUCCUAUUCUGUAAUAGGAUGAUUUGUGCAGAUUAAGAAAGCAUUCCUAUAUGGCAUCUCUUUGCCUAAUAGACACUGCUAUAGUCAAAACAAUUGUUGCCUAACCAAAUUUCACCGGUGAAGGUCUUCAUACUGUUGGAAUUAUAUAAGAUUUUUUCUAUUAAUGUAUAUUUAUCAUGUGUUCUAAUUUUAUUCUCUUAAUGUAUAUGAAUUACUGUUGCUUUGCAUCAAAGCUUUCAUAAAACUAUGCAUAUGAAUUGUUAUUAUAUACAUCUCUAAAAAAAUCCCGCCGCAAGGCUAGGAUGGUUUUCUAAUUAGCUAUCCCUGCCAUAUGAUGCUCUUAUGUAUUAUAUGAUUAAGGAGAAUUUUCCAGGAUGUAGCAUAGAUGAUAAACUUAUGGCGUCAUCUGCAAUAUAGUGUGUGAUGAUUGUUUGGUUUAGCUUAAUCAUUUCCAUGCUGUCAAGCUUUGGCUUUUGGCUGAUGAUAAAUAUUACUAUGAUGCAGGCAGUACCUGGAAGUAUUCUGGCAGCUGUGAAUCGAGUGCGAGGUCUUCCUUAGGUUGUUCUCUGUAGGGCCUUAUCUUCGUGUAUGGUUCCUAUUACGAGCUUAACUCGCUGGCACCAGCUGAAGAGCUUAUCCGUCCAAGAGACCAGGAGUGGAUGCGUUUUGGGAUCAUCCUGGUUGUGUAUUCUGAUCGGUUGAAUA